rnacentral:rRNA from 1 species
AUUGAACGCUGGCGGCAUGCCUUACACAUGCAAGUCGAACGGCAGCACAGUUGCUUCCUCCUCGUACCGGGUGCCAGUGGCGUGCGUGAUAGAUAGACACCUGUACUGACUUGUGGGUUAGGGCUGACGAAGCCGAACUUAUACCGCUACCGCACUACGCCUGCGAGUGAAAGACGUUGAUGUCUCGAGCUUUCGGGUUGGCAGAUGCCUGAUUAGCUAGUUGGCGGGGUAAAGGCCUACCAAGGCGACGAUCAGUAGCUGGUCUGAGAGGACGAUCAGCCACACUGGAACUGAGACACGGCCCAGACUCCUACGGGAGGCAGCAGUGGGGAAUUUUGGACAAUGGGCGCAAGCCUGAUCCAGCAAUACCGCGUGUGUGAAGAAGGCCUUCGGGUUGUAAAGCACUUUUGUUGGGAAAGAAAAGCAGCAGGUUAAUACGGCGCUGUUAUGACGGUACCGGAAGAAUAAGCACCGGCUAACUUCGUG